GAUGAACGCUGGCGGCGUGCCUAAUACAUGCAAGUCGAGCGAACGGACGAGAAGCUUGCUUCUUUGUUGUUAGCGGCGGACGGGUGAGUAACACGUGGAUAACCUACCUAUAAGACUGGUAUAACUUCGGGAAACCGUAGCUAAUACCGGAUAAUAUUUUGAACCGCAUGGUUCAAAAGUGAAUGACGGCCUUGCUGUCACUACUAGAUGGAUCCGCGCUGCAUUAGCUAGUUGGUAAGGUAACGGCUUAUCAAGGCAACGAUGCAUAGCCGACCUGAGAGGGGGGUCGGCCACACGGGAGGGGGGGCAGGGACCAUGCGCCUACGGGAGGGAGCAGUAGGGUAUCUUCCGCAGUAGGGGGAAACCUGGCGGAGCGGCGCGACGUGAGAGGUGGAAGUGUUCGGAUCGGAAAACUCUGUUAUUAGGGAAGAACAUAUGUGUAAGUAACUGUGCACAGCGUGACGGUACCUAGUAAGAAAGCAACGGCUAACUACGUG
rnacentral:rRNA from 1 species